rnacentral:rRNA from 1 species
GACGAACGCUGGCGGCGUGCCUAAUACAUGCAAGUAGAACGCUGAAGGAGGAGCUUGCUUCUCUGGAUGAGUUGCGAACGGGUGAGUAACGCGUAGGUAACCUGCCUGGUAGCGGGGGAUAACUAUUGGAAACGAUAGCUAAUACCGCAUAAGAGUAGAUGUUGCAUGACAUUUUCUUAAAAUGUGCAAUUGCAUCACUACCAGAUGGACCUGCGUUGUAUUAGCUAGUUGGUGGGGUAACGGCUUACCAAGGCGACGAUACAUAGCCGACCUGAGAGGGUGAUCGGCCAAACUGGGACUGAGACAAGGCCCAGACUCCUACGGGAGGCAGCAGUAGGGAAUCUUCGGAAAUGGACGGAAGUCUGACCGAGCCAAGCCGCGUGAGUGAAGAAGGUUUUCGGAUCGUAAAGCUCUGUUGUAAGAGAAGAACGAGUGUGAGAGUGGAAAGUUCACACUGUGACGGUAUCUUAACAGAAAGGGACGGCUAACUACGUG